rnacentral:lncRNA from 1 species
ACGUAGAUACAUGAUGAUGAAACACAACUUUUUCUUUCUCUAUUCACCAAAAUCGAGAGGAGGGAAUGCCGACUAUGGUAGAGUAGAAGUGGGCUUGCUCCUGGUCAUGUUGUUUAUUUAAGGCGAGUCAUUACAUAAAGCAUCUCGUACAUAAGCAAGCACCAUAGCUUUUCGUAGGAACAAGACAAAGGAUGUCCAUUAAGAAAUCUGGGAGCCCAUUCGCUGUCAUUUUCAUGAGGCAUUUGUGUGUUGAGUACUCGACACGUCGUGGAAUUAUUUCUUGAAAAUGGAAGCUAACCAAUCGAGAAUUGGACAAUACACAGUAGUCAGUCGCAGUUUACAAGGACAGGGACCCAUGCUUCUCCUCCCUUUCC